rnacentral:rRNA from 1 species
AUUGAACGCUGGCGGCAGGCUUAACACAUGCAAGUCGAGCGGAGAGAGGUAGCUUGCUACUGAUCUUAGCGGCGGACGGGUGAGUAACACGUGGGUAACCUGCCUGUAAGACUGGGAUAACUUCGGGAAACCGGAGCUAAUACCGGAUAGGUUCUUUUCUCGCAUGAGGGAAGAUGGAAAGAUGGUUCUGCUAUCACUUACAGAUGGACCCGCGGCGCAUUAGCUAGUUGGUGAGGUAACGGCUCACCAAGGCGACGAUGCGUAGCCGACCUGAGAGGGUGAUCGGCCACACUGGGACUGAGACACGGCCCAGACUCCUACGGGAGGCAGCAGUAGGGAAUCUUCCGCAAUGGACGAAAGUCUGACGGAGCAACGUCGCGUGAGCGAAGAAGGCCUUCGGGUCGUAAAGCUCUGUUGUUAGGGAAGAACAACUACGAGAGUAACUGCUCGUACCUUGACGGUACCUAACCAGAAAGCCACGGCUAACUACGUGCCAGCAGCCGCAGUAAUAC